UACGUAGGGGGCAAGCGUUGUCCGGAUUUAUUGGGCGUAAAGAGCGUGUAGGCGGCUUUACAGGUCCGUUGUGAAAACUCGAGGCUCAACCUCGAGACGCCGGUGGAAACCGUAAAGCUAGAGUCCGGAAGAGGAGAGUGGAAUUCCUGGUGUAGCGGUGAAAUGCGCAGAUAUCAGGAAGAACACCCGUGGCGAAGGCGGCUCUCUGGGACGGUACUGACGCUGAGACGCGAA
rnacentral:rRNA from 1 species